AGAAAAUAGGAGGAGAAGCAAGAACCAAAGCAGAGCGGAAGAAGAAGAAGGAGAUUCUGAAGGCUAAGCAGAGAGCAGAUAUUAUCAGACAGACAGGGAAGCUUCCCCUUGCUUGCUGCUGCUGCUGCUGAUGAACAUUGAUAGCUAUGUUGAUCUUCUCUUAUUUUGUACGCUUAACUACUGAAUGAAUGCUUUGAGAACAAAAGUAAUCAAUAAUUCAAGUUUCUGUCAGAUGGGUUUUCUGUUUUAGUGUGUGUGUGUGUGUGUGGUAGGUAGAAGAAGCGGCUCUCUAUAGCGCUGCGCGUCCCUACUCUUGAUGCCGUCCAUUAAUCACUCCCAUUCAAGAUUCACGCUCCUUUACUCCUUACUAUAUAGCCCUUUCUACUACUUCCCUUCAUUCAACCUCCGGAAAUGUCAACUUCCGAUCAGCCCUCCGGCGACCUCACCCAUGUUGCUCUGUUCCCAAGUGCUGGUAUGGGCCAUCUUGUUCCCUUUCUCAGACUGGCUGCCGCUCUCCUCCGUCAUCACUGCAAGCUUACCCUCAUCACUUCUCAUCCUGCCGUCUCUUCUGCUGAGUCGCAACUCAUUUCCCGAUUCCUCUCUGCUUUCCCCCAAAUCACUGAGCUCAAGUUCCAUAUCGUACCUCUUGACCCUCUUGUCGCGAACUCCGAUGACCCUUUUUUUCUUCAAUUUGAAGCCAUUCGUCGAUCGGUUCAUCUUCUCACUUCUCCCCUUUCUGCCCUCUCUCCGCCUCUGUCCGCCCUUGUCUGUGAUGUGAGCUUGAUUUCCUCUGCUCUUGCGCUUUCUGCGACCCUUAAGAUACCCAAUUACGUGCUCUUCACCUCCUCUGCUAUAAUGUUUUCUCUCUUUGCCUAUUACCCGUUUGUUAAAAUGUCUGACCCAUCUGGCGAUUUGAUUCACAUUCCUGCGAUUGGGUCAAUUCCCAAAACGUCGCUCCCUCCUCCCCUGCUUGUCGAUAAUAGCAUCUUCAAGAAAAUUUUUACGCAAGAUGGUCGCAGGAUCAAAGAACUGAAUGGGGUUUUGAUCAAUGCGAUGGACGCAAUGGAAGGAGAUACUGUCGCUGCACUCAACAGUGGGAAGGUACUGGAUGGAUUGCCGCCAGUGGUACCCAUAGGACCAUUGCUGCCAUGUGAGUUUGAGAAUCCAGAGGGGAGGUCUCCCAUAAAAUGGCUGGAGAAGUUACCUCCCAGAUCGGUGGUUUUCGCGAGCUUCGGCAGCCGGACCGCCGCUUCAAGAGAGCAAAUCAAAGAGAUCGGAAUUGGGUUGGCUUCGAGUGGGUACAAAUUCCUGUGGGUAGUGAAAGAUAAAGUGGUGGACAAGGAAGACAAAGAGGGGUUAGAGGAGGUAGUGGGGGAAGAACUGAUGGAGAAAUUGAAGGAGAAGGGGAUGGUAUUGAAGGAAUGGGUAAAUCAGGAGGAAAUUUUGGGGCACAGAGCGGUGGGUGGGUUUGUGAGCCAUUGUGGGUGGAACUCGGUGAUGGAAGCGGCGUUGAAGGGGGUGCCAGUUUUGGCGUGGCCUCAAAACGGGGACCAGAUGAUCAAUGCAGGAUUGGUUGCAAAGAAAGGGGUUGGAAUGUGGGUUGAAAAAUGGGGAUGGGGCCAUAAAUGUGUGGUGAAGGGCGAGGAACUUGGUGGGAGGAUUAAGGAGCUGAUGGAGAGUGAUGUCUUGAGAGCACGAGCUGCAGAGCUUAAAGAGGAGGCGGCGAAGGCUGUGGCUGUGGGAGGAAGCUGUGACAGAGCAAUUGAAGGGCUGAUUGGAAGGUGGAGCAAGGGCGUCUGAAGAAGGGCUGUUCAAAGAGGGCAAGCGGCAAAAGACCUCAGUCACAUCCCUCAUCGAGACCACACAAGGACAAAGCGGGGGUGGGAGUUGAUUUAAGGGAGCUUACUGGUUGAGGAAGCAAGAAGGAGCUCGGGUUGUCAAAGGGAGAAGCUGUCGAAGAUUUGAGACCAAAAACCACGCUCGCUAGAGGAACUCACGCUCUACAGUCACAGGCGUUCGACGAUUGAUUUUGAACUGAAACAAACCAAAACGGAAAAUCGGACGCCCAAAGAACAUUUAGAUUCAUGAGAGGACAAUCUACGUCUUUAUCGCAGAAAGCAACUAGAGUUAUGUCCAAUUCAACGAGAAACGAAUGCGAGAAGGUUUGAGUUACAAAUGGUAUCAGAGCCAGACACUAGGUGGUGUGCUGGCGAGGACGCUAGCCUCCGAGAGAGG